UGAAAGCUGCUUACAAACUAGUUGAACUCAGUCUAAAGAUAUUAUAUUCCAUUUCCUAAUUACUGUUGUUUAUUUUUUUUAGAGUCAUCAUGAAGAAGUCUAUUGUCAAGAUUUGGGAGGUUUCAUUGCAGUGGAUUAUAAAAGGCACUGGGGCAGCUGAUACACUGAGGUGCCAUUAAAAAUUAUAUCACCACUGAAGGAUAAUCUUGCUGUAGGCAAGAUUGCUUUGGGUGUGUAUUCCAGUUUAGGUGCCAAAAAUGCUAAGACUUGGAUAAAGGAGAGGAGAAAGUACAGCUAUGUUCUCUGUAUGCUUUUGCUGCUUCGAGGGAGACAGAAAAACAGCAGGAAAUGCUCAUUUCUUCUCUUGGGAUCUUUCAAGGACCUCCUACCUGAACAGUAUGGUUGAACUUUGCUUUGAACUUCUGUAUAUUUUCCCCUUUGCAUCUUCACUCUGAUGGUCAUCGUGCAUCAUCAACAUUGGAGGAGGAUGUAGAAGCUAUCUGCUUCAAGACAGCAGUUUCCAAAUGAAACCCAGAGAUGACCGAAUGACUUGAUCUAGGUAGUUCUUCAACUUUAAAGAACACAGGAACUACCUGAAGAUCUUGUUAAAAUGCCAAGUCCUUUGUUAUAGGUGAGGGGUGAGCCUGAGAUUCUGCAUUUCUAACAAGCUCUUAGGUGAUGCCAAUGCUGCCAUUUCACUUUCUACAUUG
rnacentral:lncRNA from 1 species